UACGGGGGGGGCAAGCGUUGUUCGGAAUUACUGGGCGUAAAGAGCGUGUAGGCGGCCCGGUAAGUCCGCUGUGAAAGUCGGGGGCUCAACCCUCGAAUGCCGGUGGAUACUGUCGGGCUAGAGUGCGGAAGAGGCGAGUGGAAUUCCUGGUGUAGCGGUGAAAUGCGCAGAGAUCCGGAGGAAGACCGGUGGCGAAGGCGGCCUGCUGGGCAGUUUCUGACACUGAGGCGCGACAGCGUGGGGAGCAAACAGG
rnacentral:rRNA from 1 species